rnacentral:lncRNA from 1 species
UAGCAGUGAAAAAUCCAUUGCAAAGGAAGAUGUUCCUAGCUGAUCGCAGCUUUACCAUUGCCAGUUUGUGAAAAUUGUUUGUCUUGUGAGAUAAAUGAGUCAUCGUUCUUUUCAUUAUCAACCACGACCACCUAGAUCGUCCCUCACUCGAACCCAGCCUUCACCACCUUGACAAUCACCCACGCCACCAACUCUCAAAUCAACGACCACAGAAAGCCACCUAGAUCGAUGAUGAUGCUGGAAGGGGGUCAAUGAUGAGGAGUGGCUCGGCCAGGAGAGGAACGGUCACGAGCAGGAGAGGGUGAAAACUGUUGCGGAGACAGCUCCCAGUGGUGGUUCCGGUGGGGAUUAAUAUAUAUGUGGUGGUAGUCGGUGGCUAUUUAUGGUUGAUUCGAAGAAUGUGGUUUCAUGGCUUUGGCGGUGGUGGCGAGGGGCAGUUGAGUUAGAAUUUCUAGAUGGCCAGAAAAGGGCACGGAAAGGAAGAAACAUUCAGGACAUCCUAAAUGAAGAAUUGUGUCGUGGAAUAACUGGAAAAAACGAAACAAAGUCGGAACUGUUGAUCGUGCUAACAUAGCUAUCCUCUUUGUGUGCGCGGUUUCAUUCCUUUGUUUCGAAAGGACACGGAUGGAGAAGGUGAUCAUGAUGAAUCUAUCAUAGCGAUCAUAAUAGAAGGAGAAUUCUUAUAAAAUAAAAAAUCACUUUACAUUAUUAGAGAUUAAGCUUUAAUGAAAUCAAGAAUAUUAUUAUCUUUUAUCUUUUCAGUAAAUUUUAAAAGAAUUUGAAAAUCUUAUAUAUUUUUUAAUUCCCUUUAUUUAGAAAUUAUGACCAUGGCUUUUUUUCAACCAAUAAUCAACUUAUGGAUUGACCAUGUUCCUACAUUGCAUAACAAGCUAAUAAAUUCAAAUAAAAAUAAUUUUUUUUUGACUCGGCCCGUGGGACACCUUAUAGAACGACAUUAUUUAUUAUGUCAUUGUCUUAAAGGCCACUUGCAAACGACAUUGUUUUUAAAAGAAACAAAAUCAUAGCCUGUGAAGUAAAAUUACAUUUGAUCUUCCUGUAGGAACUGCAGCAUUCAUGUCAGCGGUCUUAUACAUAUAUAUAAAAAAACAUACGAGCCAGGCUCAGAAUCAAAGGCAGGGAAAAAGACAAGACAGGUCAGGCAACAAGUUACAGAAAGUCUUCGUUGCGUAUCUACGUACCUUCAUCCGAAUAUUAUCUUUUUAGUUAAAAAUGUCUAUAAAUUGAAAUCCAAUGUACUUAGAAUAAGUUCCCAGCAAUCCGAGUUGAUUUGAAGAUAUGUGCAGAAUUUUUUAAAGCCACAGGCCAUCAAGCCAGCUUGGGGCUCUUUCAUGAUUUGGUAUAUAUGUCCAUCUGAGGUCCCGUAAUAUGCGAUACGAUUGGUUGUAUACCAAAUCCUUUUGAUUUGCUCCCAAUAAAAUAAAAGCAUAGAAACCAUAAAAUUCGUUUGACAAAGCAGCGGAAACGCUGAAUACAAAGAUGCUGAUACUUGAUCGACUAGUCAAGACAAGAAAAUUACUAGGUUCCAUGAUCCAAAAAUAUGCCCCAAACUCGUGGUAGCUAUGCAGCCUAUUAUUAUUAUUAUUAUUAUUAUUCUCAUGUUCAUUUUUCCAGUCUGGAGUAAAAUUCACAUCUUAAUCCUUUUUCCCAUCACUCCUCAUCAUUGAAGUGUUUGGUAUAAUUGUUUUUUAUUUAAAAAUACAUCAAAAUAAUAUUUUUUUAUUUUUUUAAAAUUAUUUUAAUAUUAACAUAUCAAAAAAUCUAAAAAUACUAAAAAAAUUAAUUUAAAAUAAAAAAUUAAAAAUAAAAUUAAUUUUUUAAAAAAUAUUUUUUAAAAACACAAAUAAAAACCAGAUGAAAUUUCUAUUCCCCAUCAUUAGGUGAAGUGGAUGUACUACAUGAUCUUCAAAAAGCAUAUCCCGAACCUGGAUGACUCGAGCGAGGUGGGUUAUAGCUUGGUGCUAUAGCCACUAAGCUACACAGUAAAUAAACAGUUCCAGCCACGCAAAUGUCUCAGUAUUGUUCGGCACCCAUCAACUCCAUACUCCAGUUUUGCCCUGAGAGUCUAUGAAAGGUGAGAAUAUAGCUACAUGUCAUUAAGGGAAGGGAAACAAAAUGAGAAAUAUAACUACGGCAUAGAUCAUAUUUACUAAGAAUUGGCUUGAGAAAAUCACGAGAAAUAUACUUUAAUUGAUCAGGUUUUAAGUUUGUUUUUUAAAAGUUACCAGUUCGAGUUUCAUAAACCUCAGGACCAGUCACUAAAAAUUUACGUAGUUAUUAACUUUAGACCUCGUGAAAUUAAUUAAGGUAUCCACAAACUGAUUCGGACAUUCAUGUUAAUAAAAAAAAAAUAGCUCGAGAAAUAACUUAAAUCAUUGAAUCAUCAUGUCAAUAAGCAAGUCAUCUAUAAAUAUGAAUUAAUUAUUUUUAUUAAAAAAUAUCAUUUAUUUUUUAAAAAAAAACUUUAAAGUUAAUCCAACCAAGUUUUACAUGCUUUUCAGCUCAAAAAUAUUUUUCCAACCUCAGCUGGGUUUAACACCUUGUAAGAAAUAAUAUUGAAAAGACAGAUGUUGGCAAGCAGCAUAUUUUAUAUAUACAGGAAAAGAUGGGCUUGGCCCAUUCCAAUGUAUCUGUUCGACACAAAUUUGCACUCAAUAACAGGAACACUCCUGGGGCCGAAAUGAUUUUAGAAUCUCCACAAGGACUACUACUUGUCUUUUCAACUGAAAGAAGAAAGCGGAAAGAGAUUCUUAUCCUUUAUAAAACGCUCCGUUUCCAUGAAAUAGGUGUCUGGAAGUGACUAGGAUAAAAACACACGCAAGCUCGUUAAUGAGAUGACUAAACUUGAAGGUUAUUUUUUUUUAUAGAGUGUGGUGUUGUUGUUUUUAAAAUAAUUUUUAAUAUUAAAAUUUAUAUUAAUAAUAUAUUUUUAUAUUUUUUAAAAAAUAUUUUUGACAUUAACACAUUAAAAUAAUUUAAAAACAUAUUAAUUUGAAGUUAAUAAAAAUAUAAAAAAAUUUCAAUUUUUUUUAAAAAUAUUUUUAUAACACAAAAACAAACAGUUCAAGUAUCUACCAAACAUCAAACUGAAUUAUUUUAUUGAUAAAUUAUAAGUUUCCUCAAAACUAGACUACUCCAUAGCUUUGAAUAAUGAACUACAACAAACCUAAUUUCAUUAAACGUUAUAUAAUUCAAAUAAAAUUUAACAACUUGUUCUAAAUUUUUAAAUCGUGUUAAAAAUAAAAAUAUUUACGAUAAUAAAAUAAAAUCAAGCCAUAAUAGACUAGUAGUAAUUGAGACCCCUUCCCCACUUGAGACGAAACGGGAAAAAAACUAUAUCUUCCCAUUUUUUUACUCCUGAAUUUAUAAUCAAACAUGCCGAAUAAUAAAUAUUGAAAAAUAAGAAUGUCUUCUUCUUUUUAACAAAGCAGCCACUUGAUAUCCUAGUCAGGCUAAUGAAUGUUCUUAUAGUACCUGUUAAGAAUUACUUAAUGUACAAAAUCAAAUUUUAUUAUUUUAUUUGUUAUAUGUUUUACUGUAACAACUUAUAAAUAUCACCAUAUAAAAUAAUACUCGUUUAAUUUUUGCAAUUAAUAUCAGUUGGAUAUUUCAUUUUUCUCACACUAUAGUCCUUAUAACUUUGUUUUCCUUGUACUUCAAUCCAUGUCAAGAAAAAAAUAAUUUAAUCCCUGAAAUUCUUGCAACGAUUCAAUUUAGUUUCUAAAAUGUUCUCUUUUAAUUUUUUUCAUUAUAUAUUGUUUCUAUAUUUGAGUCCUAAAAUGUUCUCUUUUAAUUUUUUUCAUUAUAUAUUGUUUCUAUAUUUGAGUCCUAAAACUUUAUUUCCACUUGUGUUUCCGUCCAUUAAUAUUUUAAAAUAAAGUUAUAUUUAGAUAAAUAAUUAAGAUAACAUUUAAUAAAUAACUUGAUUACAUCAUUUUCUUUAAAUGAGAUUAGAGCUUUAUAUGAUAAUUUUUUCAAUUAUUUUAUGAAUAAUUGUAUAUAAAUCUAAUAUAUAUUUUUUUCUUAAAAAUAUUGCACAUGAAUAUUCAAGAAGAGUAAAAUAUAUAUUUUUUUGUUAUCAUAAAUUUUGUAUGUAAUUUUCAUGAAAUAAUUAUUCUUUUGUUUUUUCCAAACAAGUGUCUAAAAACUUAUCACCACAUGAGUUUUUUAAGAUCAUGAUAAGUUUUUAAUUAAAAAAUAUGGUUUUAAUAAAAAAUAUAUGUUUUCUUCAAAAUAAAAAAAUAAAUGAAUGAGAAAUAAGAGAUUUUGACUAAAGAAAUAUAUUUUUUAUCACAAAUUUAAAUUAUUAAAACUCUUGUGAAUAUUUAUUUUAAUUACAUUAAGUUUUUAUUGAAAAAUCAUGAUGUUGAUAUAAGUGACAUGUUCUGUUAAAACAUGAAAAAUGCAUAAAUAAAAAAUGAAUAUUAUGACUAAAGAAAUACAUUUUUUUCCUCAAAAACUUAAAGCCUUCAAACUCUUGAAAUAUUUAUUUUAAUUGUAAUAAAAAUAAAUAAAAACCAACUUUAAAAAUGGUCUCGUUGUCUUCGCUUGUAUCUCUAUCCCAUAAUUUAUUACCUCUACGUUACCGUUAACAAGCACAACUCUUUAUAACCUAUACGGAUAAAAUAUUUAUACAUGUAUCUAUAUAUAUAUUUUUAUUAAUAUAAAUAUCAACUUAUACCAUUUUAAACCUUUAAUAGGCCUUUGCAAUUCUUGUUAUAUUUUAUUAAUUCAUAUAUUUUUAAAUUAAUUUUAGUAAAAAAGGCAUUAUCUUUUUAUUUUUUAUUAACAAGUUUCGUGAUAAAAAAUGCUUAGCUCCUUUUUCAUAAAAUAUAAUAAUAAUUCGUGAUCAACAUCUUUAUUUUUUCUUUUUCAUUAAAACUUAAAUUGGAAUGUUUUCGAUAGAAUACAGCAGGCAUGAUAACCAAUAUAUUUAAAUAAUGCUUAAUGGAGAAUCUAUUAGCUAGGGUUAGCAUUGAAAAAUCCAUUGCAAAGGAAGAUGUUCCUAGCUGAUCGCAGCUUUACCAUUGCCAGUUUGUGAAAAUUGUUUGUCUUGUGAGAUAAAUGAGUCAUCGUUCUUUUCAUUAUCAACCACGACCACCUAGAUCGUCCCUCACUCGAACCCAGCCUUCACCACCUUGACAAUCACCCACGCCACCAACUCUCAAAUCAACGACCACAGAAAGCCACCUAGAUCGAUGAUGAUGCUGGAAGGGAGGUCAAUGAUGAGGAGUGGCUCGGCCAGGAGAGGAACGGUCACGAGCAGGAGAGGGUGAAAACUGUUGCGGAGACAGCUCCCAGUGGUGGUUCCGGUGGGGAUUAAUAUAUAUGUGGUGGU